rnacentral:rRNA from 1 species
GACCUCAUCUCAAGCGGGACCACGCCCUAAACUUAAGCAUAUUAACCAGGGCAGGAAAGGAAACCAAACGGGACUCCCUUAGUAACUGCGAGUGAAGAGGGACCAGCCCAGGCUGAAUCCAAUACCCCAGGGUUGCGGAGUUGUGGCCUUUGACUUAGGUCUUCAGUUAGGCUUGACCAGAGAAGUUCCCUGAAAAGGGACGCCAUAGAGGGUUAAAGCCCCGUAUCAUGGUUAGGUCUGGCGAAUCUCCUGAGUUUAGAGUCAGGCUGUUUGAGAGUACAGUCUAAAGUGGGAGGUACGCUCCUCCUAAGGCUAAGUAUAGGGUGGGAAUCCGAUAGCAUACAAGUACCGCGAGGGAAAGAUGCAAAGCACUCUGAAGAGAGAGUCAAAGAGUACCUGAAAUCGUAAUGGGGGAAGCGUCUAAGGGAGUCACUAUGCAGGUUGCCUUUCACCGGGCCGACUUAGGUGCUGUGGAAUCUAGAGGUACUUCCGGGUAUUCAGGGUUUUGCA